rnacentral:miRNA from 1 species
UGAAGCUCGGACAUUUGGUA